rnacentral:rRNA from 1 species
UCGAGAAUCAUUCACAAUGGGCGAAAGCCUGAUGGUGCGACGCCGCGUGGGGGAUGAAGGUCUUCGGAUUGUAAACCCCUGUCAUGAGGGAGCAAGCUAGUGAUAGUUGAUAGUACCUCAAGAGGAAGAGACGGCUAACUCUGUGCCAGCAGCCGCGGUAAUACAGAGGUCUCAAGCGUUGUUCGGAAUCACUGGGCGUAAAGCGUGCGUAGGCGGCAAUGUAAGUCGGAUGUGAAAUGCGUGGGCUCAACCUACGAACUGCAUACGAUACUGCAUUGCUAGAGUAAUGGAGGGGGAACCGGAAUUCUCGGUGUAGCAGUGAAAUGCGUAGAUAUCGAGAGGAACACUCGUGGCGAAGGCGGGUUUCUGGACAUUAACUGACGCUGAGGCACGAAGGCUAGGGGAGCGAAAG